GCCCCCUGCUGGAUUUUCAAUAGAAUGCAGGUUUCAGGGACUUCCGCACUGGCUUCAUAUUGUAGACUGGUAGCUUCCCGCUUGGCCCAAACGGACAAAUGGCUACACAGACUACACAUCACUGAAGACGUAAUUAACCACCAGUGUGCCGGACAGGAGGCAGCCUGCACUGAAGCAUGAGGUUUACUGGACUCCACAUGCGAAGGAGAGACACUGAGAUCACGUCAGCCUGGACAGAGGCAGCACAUGUUUCCCAUCCAGACGUCUUGUUUAGAUCAGGUCGGACUGCUCACAGGUGAUGUGAAUUUGCAGGGAAAAGCCACACUGUUUACUAGCUCAGUGUGUAGGUAUCCUCAAAUAUUGCUCAUCCUAGAGAUGUGUAUGACCUAUGUAGAAGACAAUAAGUUGCCUUGAAAUGGCAUGUUGCUGUUUUCUUUUUAGGUAGAGACUUGCCCGUCCCCAUAUUCUCCUCACAGUGUUUGUGGAUUUUGGGAAAUGACUUGCCUGUUAUAUUACUUUUGAGUUUACAUUUGCUUUGGGAUCCCUGCCUGAAGUUACAUUAUGUAUGUGUUUUAUUUUACGUAUCUUAUUUAGUUGUAUUUGGCACAUUAUGUUCUAUUUUGUUCACUACAUUUUUUUGUUUUUUCUGUUGUUUUGUGUUUUACCUUUGAAAAGCACUUCAUGGUGCUGCUUUAAAAGAUGCUAUAUGAAUGAAGUUUAUAAUCGUUAUUGUACAAUAUUUUCACAUGUCAAUCAAGGCCCAAUAUCAUGCUCUCGAUCAUGUGGCUGUGGAGGUCAAUAUGGUUUGGUUCACACACAACAGUCCUUAUGAAUAGCAUUUUAUGUCAUCAAUGAUACAUCCAUCAUACUCAUUUUCAAAUCAGUUGUAGAAUCUGUGGUCCCAAACGUUCAUCACAUCCUCUAACUCUGCACACAAUGUUGUUUUUGCACUGAUUUAUUCAUUCAGCCAGUUGAGAGCAGUAUGUGACUGUUUGGUUUCUGUACAUAAACUCUUGUUGCAGAUGUUCAGCCUGUUUUACAGUAUUCAAACAGUCCAGUAAAUGUACUGGAUGGUAUUUACAAGAGGUUUCAAGUUGCUUUUUGCGUGUACUAUUUUCUCCUGUUGGAAAGCGGUUGGUAAAAUUUCUAUGGUGGUUGCAUGUAAUGAAUAGCCCCUAUUAUGGUUUGGACAACACAUAGCUACAUGACUGACUCAGGUCCUGAUGAACAAGCCUGACUGCACACUCCUGGGAAACAGCUUUGUUUUUUGAGGAUUUCUAACCUGAGAGUCACAGACUGUGUAAUUCUCUCAUACCUUCCUGCCGGCAGUAAAUCAACCUUGUUGUCCUCUUUGUUCCACCUCCUUUGUUUUAUGAACUUCAUGAACUCCAUAGCUACAUCAAACCUUCAUAGCCUCCGCAAGUGCCUGCUCACUACAUAAUUCUGCUAGAGCCAUUAAGCCAGCGCCACAUCCAAAACACGUCAUAACAUCACAUCCAUGUAUUCUGUAAUGUGUUGCCUAGGUGACUGAUGGAAGUGCCUGCAGGGUCUUCUGAAGACUUUCAGGAUUUCAAAAUAUAAAAGCCUGCCAUGUCAUCCAGUGGGCACGUAUACACCCACUUCAAAUACCACCCAUGAUGCAUGCUGGGAUGGUGCCACAUUGUUGCAUAUGUGGACAAUCAGAUCAUUCUCAUACUCUUAUUACAUACCUUUUCUUCUGAUACCUCUAUUUUUCAGCUGGGCCACAUGUCUGGAAUAAAAUUAACUCAAUCAAUCUCCUCAA